AGGUAAGCUACUAAGAGCGAAUGGUGGAUGCCUUGACUGGUAAAGGCGAUGAAGGACGUACUAGACUGCGAUAAGCUACGGGGAGCUGUCAAGAAGCUUUGAUCCGUAGAUUUCCGAAUGGGGCAACCCAAUGUAUAGAGAUAUACAUUACCUAUAUAGGAGCGAACGAGGGGAAUUGAAACAUCUUAGUACCCUCAGGAAAAGAAAUCAAUAGAGAUUGCGUCAGUAGCGGCGAGCGAAAGCGCAAGAGGGCAAACCCAGUGCUUGCACUGGGGGUUGUAGGACUGCAAUGUGCAAGAGGUAAGUUUAGCAGAACAUUCUGGAAAGUAUAACCAUAGAGGGUGAUAGUCCCGUAUGCGAAAAACAAACCUUAGCUAGCAGUAUCCUGAGUAGGGCGGGACACGAGGAAUCCUGUCUGAAUCCGGGUCGACCACGAUCCAACCCUAAAUACUAAUACCAGAUCGAUAGUGCACAAGUACCGUGAGGGAAAGGUGAAAAGAACUGAGGUGAUCAGAGUGAAAUAGAACCUGAAACCAUUUGCUUACAAUCAUUCAGAGCCCUAUGUAGCAAUACAGGGUGAUGGACUGCCUUUUGCAUAAUGAGCCUGCGAGUUGUGGUGUCUGGCAAGGUUAAGCAAACGCGAAGCCGUAGCGAAAGCGAGUCUGAAUAGGGCGCUUAGUCAGAUGCUGCAGACCCGAAACGAAGUGAUCUAUCCAUGAGCAAGUUGAAGCUAGUGUAAGAACUAGUGGAGGACUGAACCCAUAGGCGUUGAAAAGCCCCGGGAUGACUUGUGGAUAGGGGUGAAAGGCCAAUCAAACUUCGUGAUAGCUGGUUCUCUCCGAAAUAUAUUUAGGUAUAGCGUUGUGUCGUAAUAUAAGGGGGUAGAGCACUGAAUGGGCUAGGGCAUACACCAAUGUACCAAACCCUAUCAAACUCCGAAUACCUUAUAUGUAAUCACAGCAGUCAGGCGGCGAGUGAUAAAAUCCGUCGUCAAGAGGGAAACAACCCAGACUACCAGCUAAGGUCCCUAAAUCUUACUUAAGUGGAAAACGAUGUGAAGUUACUUAAACAACCAGGAGGUUGGCUUAGAAGCAGCCAUCCUUUAAAGAAAGCGUAAUAGCUCACUGGUCUAGUGAUUUUGCGCGGAAAAUAUAACGGGGCUAAAGUAAGUA
rnacentral:rRNA from 1 species